UACGUAGGCAGCGAAGCGUUGUUCGGAGUUACUGGGCGUAAAGGGUGCGUAGGCGGUCCUAUAAGUAUGGUGUGAAAUCUCCCGGCUUAACUGGGAGGGUGCGCUAUAGACUGUGGGACUAGAGUGUGGGAGAGGAAAGUGGAAUUCCUGGUGUAGCGGUGAAAUGCGUAGAUAUCAGGAGGAACACCGGUGGUGUAAACGGCUUUCUGGACCAUAACUGACGCUGAGGCACGAAAGCGUGGGUAGCAAACAGG
rnacentral:rRNA from 1 species